CUAAUCUGGUAAAGCGAAUGAUUAGAGGCCUUAGGGCCGAAACGACCUUAACCUAUUCUCAAACUUUAAAUGGGUAAGAACCUCAUCUUUCUUGAUAUGAAGGUAGAGGUUAUGAUAUAUUGUGCCCAGUGGGCCACUUUGGGUAAGCAGAACUGGCGCUGUGGGAUGAACCAAACGUGAUGUUACGGCGCCAAAAUUAACAACUCAUACUGAUACCAUGAAAGGCGUUGCUUGCUUAAAACAGCAGGACGGUGGACAUGGAAGUCGUAAUCCGCUAAGGAGUGUGUAACAACUCACCUGCCGAAGCAACUAGCCCUUAAAAUGGAUGGCGCUAAAGUUGUAUGCCUAUACAUCACCGCUAAAGCCUAUGAUUUU
rnacentral:rRNA from 1 species